GGCUGGGUGAUAGAAAAAAGAAAACAACAAACAUAUGCUCUUUUCUCACACUUUCCCUCUUCCUCACCAUUCUGCAUCCUUAGUGUCCUUCCAGAUAGUUUCUUAAUCAUGCAGCUGCUAAUCGCAGGCAGUGACUACUAAUGGGGAUGCAUUGCUUGUGUUCUGGAUCCUUUUAAUUGGUACACGUUAUUCCAUCAUGAGUUUUCUUGCCCUUUGCUCCUGAAAGAUCUUGUGCUGGCCAGUAUCCGAGAUAAGAGCCUGGACUACCUCACCAGUGGUCUAACAAUUAUUUUGUAUUACAAAAUAUGGCUAUAGGGUGAAAUUCACUCCAGUGCAGAGGGCUUGCAGAAUGCUCUGUGCACCACUUGAGACCUACAUUAAGGGCAUAAGUGGUGCUUAGGGACUUGGUUUCUUCUAUUUCAUUAUUUCUGUCUGCAGGUCAGGAAAGAUUUGAUUAGUUUCUCUGUUUUUCCACAUCUAAAACCAGACCUAUGCAAUAAAGCAAUUGGAAUCAUAAUGUUGUCAAGCACAAGUGUAACGUACAAUAUCACUGGGACAGGCCAAUUAUACUCCAGCGUUGGGUUGCAUUCCCUAUUUUUGGCUGUGGGAAUAGGUAACCAUGGUGAUUGCAGUAGCGCUACUUCUGCAUACGAAGAUUACAGUGAAAACUCUACAAUUGCCAGCACUCACAACCACGCUGCCUCCUUAACCCAAAAGGAGAAAACACUCUCCUGCUCAGCCAUGGCUUUGUCUACACUGCAUACUAACCAUGGGAGCCCUGGUUGAUGAAGCUGAGCCAACAGGACAAGAUGCAGUUCAACUACGGCAUGAGGAAGUGCAGGAUUGUGGUGGAAUGUGCCUUGGCUGACUAAAGGCAAGAUGACACAGUUCACUGACUCGUCUGCCUUGCGGAAGAAAGCUACAAUCAUUUCUGAGAAACAAAGUAAUAGCUACUUUCAAGAGAAGAGACUUUUUAUUUUUCUUUGCAUUGCCUGGGCAACACGGGCUCAGAGAAGAAAAUCAAUACCUUUAAACAAAGAGUUCACCAGUCUUUGAAUUAAUGUAGUUAUUUUAAUCCCACUUAAACAUGCAUGGAUUGGUUAAUGAAGAGACUUAAAAGCCUUCUGACGAUACAGAAAAAGGAAGCUGUGGAGGCAGAUCAGUGUGUAGUGGAUUCUGAUGCUCCUAUUCGUGUUUCCAAUUUACCUGAUUUUUAAUCAACCCCCUCUCAUCUGUGUUCCUGGUUUAUUUUUCCUUUCCCUUUCUGCAGUGAGGCAGUGUGUCCUGACCUUUGUCCCUGUAUAAACACUAUUCUCUCUAACGCAGUUACCAUUUGAGUAUAUACAGCGAUUGAAGUACAAAGUAAAAUACCCAUUGACUCCACUGGGAAUGUGUUUCCUCACUCUUA